AUUGAACGCUGGCGGCAGGCCUAACACAUGCAAGUCGAGCGAGCGGCGGACGGGUGAGUAAUGUCUGGGAAACUGCCUGAUGGAGGGGGAUAACUACUGGAAACGGUAGCUACUACCGCAUACACUCAGAUGAGCCCAUAUGGGAUUAGCUUGUAGGUGGGGUAACGGCUUACCUAGGCGACGAUCCCUAGCUGGUCUGAGAGGAUGACCAGCAAAAAGGGAACUGAGACAAGGUCCAGACUACGACGGGAGGCAGCAGUGGGGAAUAUUGAACAAUGGGCGCAAGCCUGAUGCAGCCAUGCCGGGUGUAUGAAGAAGGACUUAGGGUUGUAAAGUACUUUCAGCGAGGAGGCGUUACUCGCAGAAGAAGCACCGGCUAACUCCGUGCCAGCAGCCGCGGUAAUUC
rnacentral:rRNA from 1 species